rnacentral:misc_RNA from 1 species
AUCAAGGCCUGUGCAUAGGCAUAGGGCAUUGCAGAAUACAUUCCGGCAGCUUUCUCUCUAUAAAAGACAGUUCUUUCGACAGCAACAACUGGCUGCACAGAUGAUGCAUUUUGCACCCCAAGGAAAAGAACAGCUACGUACAUUGAACCCAUUGCAUUGGAUAGAUCUCCUUCCUUUCCCCUUUUGGAGCCAAGGUCCCAAAAAAUUGUCCCAAACAUCAAGGCAAUAAA